GGGAAUUUUUCCGCAAUGGGCGAAAGCCUGACGGAGCAAGACCGCGUGGGGGAGGAAGGUUCUUGGAUUGUCAACCCCUUUUCUCAGGGAAGAACGCAAUGACGGUACCUGAGGAAAAAGCAUCGGCUAACUCCGUGCCAGCAGCCGCGGUAAUACGGGGGAUGCAAGCGUUAUCCGGAAUGAUUGGGCGUAAAGAGUCCGUAGGUAGUCAUCCAAGUCUGCUGUUAAAGAGCGAGGCUUAACCUCGUAAAGGCAGUGGAAACUGGAAGACUAGAGUGUAGUAGGGGCAGAGGGAAUUCCUGGUGUAGCGGUGAAAUGCGUAGAGAUCAGGAAGAAC
rnacentral:rRNA from 1 species